AUCUGGAAGAGCCCUCAGCCUUUCUUAGCCCAUGUCUCCUCUUCAGGCAGGUGCAUUUCUGUGCAAGAAUUAGGAGUGUGGAACCCUUCGCCUCUUCACGGUCUGGCCUGCCGCUUCCCCUCUUUGCCCCCAGUCCUUCUUGGAACUGCAUUUCUGUCAUUUAGGAAGCCUCACUGAGCAGCCUUGCCUCGGGGCAGAGAAGAGACAGAGAAUGGUGGGGGUGCUCUUCAUAACAAAGGAAACUUAUUGAAGCAGAAAGAGAACGUAAUCCUCCUCUAAGAACCUGCUACACUUACCGGUGCAGUCUACUCAUAAUCCUGCGCUAAGAAGCUGCUUAUACUUACAGGUACCAGUGGAAUUCCUGGAGGCAGCCGGGACCCCCACCUCUGCAGGCAGAAAUAAGGAGUCUGCCCACCCUGGGUGUCAACAGAGGCCUCGCUUCAAUGGUAGCCUGACAGGAACCAGGUGGUAUCCUCCCUGCUCCUGCCAGAGCCAGCUCAAACAGAAAGUCUAAAUAAAUUCCAAAGUUUGGUAACAUAUUGCCCCAAACGUCCAGGCUUUGCAGAUUGUCUCUAGCCGCUUUUGAGUGUGCAGGUGAGCGACAUGAAGCACAGUCGCAUAUUUGCGCUGCCGCCAUCACCAUCCAUCUCCAGGACGGCUUCCUCUUCCCCGACUGAAACGCCACGCCAGCUAGACGGAAAGCACUAAAAUGCCUCCAUUAUCAGGACUUACCUGGUGGUCUAGCGGUUAGGACCCUACACUCCCACUGCGGGGGGCACAGGGAUUUUAGUUCCUCUGGAAGGGAACGGAGAUCCCGCAAACCACGCAGCCAAACCCCAGUAAACCCCAAAGUCCCCGUCACCGGUCUCUGGUGACCGCCGCUCCAGCCUCCCGGCUUUGAAGCUGCUUGUGUACUCUAGGCACCAUUUACAGGGAGAGUCAUUUACAGGGAGAGUCAUUUACAGGGAGAGUCAUGCAGCGUUUGUCCCUUUGUCUCUGUCUUUUUAAACUUAGCACAGCGUCUUCAAGAUUCGUCCUUGUUGUGGCGUGUGUCAGAAUUUCAUUCCUCUCUAAAGCUAUUCCACGGUGGGUAUAUACCACAUUCUAUCCAUCCGUCUGUUGACGGACAUUUAGGUGGUUUUCACCUUUUUUGUGAGUAAUGCCGCUAUGAACAUUGGUGUUCAAAUAUCUGAGUCCCUGCUUUCAGUUCUUUUGAAUAUAUCGCCAGAAGAAGAACUGUUCAGUCAUUUGGAAAUUCUAUUCUUAAUUUUUCUGAGCAACUGCCUUACUUUUUCCACAGCAGCUGCACCCAUCACAUUCCCACUAGCAGUGCACAAGGGCUCCCGUUUCUGCGUAUCCUCCAAAACACGUGUUAGUCUCGGGUGUUUUGAUAAUAGCUGUGCUAAUGGGUGUGAGGUGGCAUCUCAGUGUAGGCUUGAUUUGUAAUUCCCUAGUGAUUAGUGACAGUGAGCAUAUUUUCAUGUGCUUAUUGGCCAUGUGUAUAUCAUUUUUGCA